AGUGCAUGUGGUGGAUGCCUUGGCAGUCAGAGGCGAUGAAAGACGUGAUAGCCUGCGAAAAGCUCCGGGGAGGCGGCAAAUAUCCUUUGAUCCGGAGAUGUCUGAAUGGGGGAACCCACCUACUUUAAGGUAGGUAUUGCAACAUGAAUACAUAGUGUUGCAAGGCGAACGAGGGGAAGUGAAACAUCUCAGUACCCUUAGGAAAAGAAAUCAAUUGAGAUUCCCUCAGUAGCGGCGAGCGAACGGGGAUCAGCCCAUUAAGUUAUGUGUGUUUUAGUGGAACGCUCUGGGAAGUGCGAACGUAGAGGGUGAUAUUCCCGUACACGAAAGGGCACACAUAAUGAUGACGAGUAGGGCGAGGCACGUGAAACCUUGUCUGAAUAUGGGGGGACCAUCCUCCAAGGCUAAAUACUCCUGACUGACCGAUAGUGAACCAGUACCGUGAGGGAAAGGCGAAAAGAACCCCUGUGAGGGGAGUGAAAUAGAUCCUGAAACCGCAUGCAUACAAGCAGUGGGAGCACCUUCGUGGUGUGACUGCGUACCUUUUGUAUAAUGGGUCAGCGACUUAUAUUCAGUAGCGAGGUUAACCGUAUAGGGGAGCCGUAGAGAAAUCGAGUCUUAAUAGGGCGUUUAGUUGCUGGGUAUAGACCCGAAACCAGGCGAUCUAUCCAUGAGCAGGUUGAAGGUUGGGUAACACUAACUGGAGGACCGAACCCACUGUCGUUGAAAAGCCAGGGGAUGACUUGUGGAUAGGGGUGAAAGGCUAAUCAAGCCUGGUGAUAGCUGGUUCUCCCCGAAAGCUAUUUAGGUAGCGCCUCGGACGAAUACCAUAGGGGGUAGAGCACUGUUUCGGCUAGGGGGUCAUCCCGACUUACCAAACCGAUGCAAACUCCGAAUACCUAUGAGUACUAUCCGGGAGACAGACUGCGGGUGCUAACGUCCGUAGUCAAGAGGAAAACAAUCCAGACCGCCAGCUAAGGCCCCAAAAUCAUAGUUAAGUGGGAAACGAUGUGGGAAGGCAUAGACAGCUAGGAGGUUGGCUUAGAAGCAGCCACCCUUUAAAGAAAGCGUAAUAGCUCACUAGUCGAGUCGGCCUGCGCGGAAGAUGUAACGGGGCUAAAACUAUGUGCCGAAGCUGCGGAUGUAUACUUUGUAUACGUGGUAGGGGAGCGUUCUAGUAAGCCGAUGAAGGUGUGUUGAGAAGCAUGCUGGAGGUAUCAGAAGUGCGAAUGCUGACGUGAGUAACGACAAAACGGGUGAAAAACCCGUUCGCCGAAGACCAAGGGUUCCAGUCCAACGUUAAUCGGGGCUGGGUGAGUCGACCCCUAAGGCGAGGCCGAAAGGCGUAGUCGAUGGGAAAAUGGUUAAUAUUCCAUUACUUCUGUGUAAUGCGAUGAGAGGACGGAGAAGGCUAAAUCAGCCUGGCGUUGGUUGUCCAGGUGAAAGGAUGUAGGCAUGUAUCUUAGGCAAAUCCGGGGUACUCUAUGCUGAGAUCUGAUAGCAAGCUGUACUUGUACAGCGAAGUGGUUGAUGCCAUGCUUCCAGGAAAAGUCUCUAAGCUUCAGUUACACAGGAAUCGUACCCGAAACCGACACAGGUGGUCAGGUCGAGUAGACCAAGGCGCUUGAGAGAACUCUGCUGAAGGAACUAGGCAAAAUGGUACCGUAACUUCGGGAGAAGGUACGCUGUUGUUGGUGAUGGAACUCGCUUCCUGAGCUGACGACAGCCGCAGAAACCAGGCCGCUGCAACUGUUUAUUAAAAACAUAGCACUCUGCAAACACGAAAGUGGACGUAUAGGGUGUGAUGCCUGCCCGGUGCUGGAAGGUUAAUUGAUGGGGUUAGCGUAAGCGAAGCUCUUGAUCGAAGCCCCAGUAAACGGCGGCCGUAACUAUAACGGUCCUAAGGUAGCGAAAUUCCUUGUCGGGUAAGUUCCGACCUGCACGAAUGGCAUAAUGAUGGCGGCGCUGUCUCCAGCAGAGGCUCAGUGAAAUCGAAAUCGCUGUGAAGAUGCAGUGUACCCGCGGCUAGACGGAAAGACCCCGUGAACCUUUACUGCAGCUUGACACUGAACUUUGACCUUACUUGUGUAGGAUAGGUGGGAGGCUUUGAAGCUGGAACGCUAGUUCCAGUGGAGCCGUCCUUGAAAUACCACCCUGGUAAUGUUGAGGUUCUAACUCUGUCCCGUGAUCCGGGACGAGGACCGUGUCUGGUGGGUAGUUUGACUGGGGCGGUCUCCUCCUAAAGAGUAACGGAGGAGUACGAAGGUGCGCUCAGCGUGGUCGGAAAUCACGCGUAGAGUAUAAAGGCAAAAGCGCGCUUAACUGCGAGACCCACAAGUCGAGCAGGUACGAAAGUAGGUCUUAGUGAUCCGGUGGUUCUGUAUGGAAGGGCCAUCGCUCAACGGAUAAAAGGUACUCUGGGGAUAACAGGCUGAUACCGCCCAAGAGUUCAUAUCGACGGCGGUGUUUGGCACCUCGAUGUCGGCUCAUCUCAUCCUGGGGCUGAAGCAGGUCCCAAGGGUAUGGCUGUUCGCCAUUUAAAGAGGUACGCGAGCUGGGUUUAGAACGUCGUGAGACAGUUCGGUCCCUAUCUACCGUGGGCGCUGGAAAUUUGAGAGGAUCUGCUCCUAGUACGAGAGGACCAGAGUGGACGAACCUCUGGUGUACCGGUUGUGACGCCAGUCGCAUCGCCGGGUAGCUAUGUUCGGAAGGGAUAACCGCUGAAAGCAUCUAAGCGGGAAGCCUACCUCAAGAUAAGAUUUCCCUAGGACUUUAUGUCCUCUAAAGAGCCGUUCGAGACUAGGACGUUGAUAGGUUGGAUGUGGAAGCAUAGUGAUAUGUGAAGCUGACCAAUACUAAUUGCUCGUGAGGCUUGACU
rnacentral:rRNA from 1 species